GGCAUCGUAGCCCAACUGGCAGAGGCGCCUGGUUCAGGACCAGGAGGUUGGGAGUUCGAAUCUCCCCGGUGCUA
rnacentral:tRNA from 1 species